GACGAACGCUGGCGGCGUGCCUAAUACAUGCAAGUAGAACGCUGAAGAGAGGAGCUUGCUCUUCUUGGAUGAGUUGCGAACGGGUGAGUAACGCGUAGGUAACCUGCCUUGUAGCGGGGGAUAACUAUUGGAAACGAUAGCUAAUACCGCAUAACAAUGGAUGACACAUGUCAUUUAUUUGAAAGGGGCAAUUGCUCCACUACAAGAUGGACCUGCGUUGUAUUAGCUAGUAGGUGAGGUAACGGCUCACCUAGGCGACGAUACAUAGCCGACCUGAGAGGGUGAUCGGCCACACUGGGACUGAGACACGGCCCAGACUCCUACGGGAGGCAGCAGUAGGGAAUCUUCGGCAAUGGGGGCAACCCUGACCGAGCAACGCCGCGUGAGUGAAGAAGGUUUUCGGAUCGUAAAGCUCUGUUGUAAGUCAAGAACGAGUGUGAGAGUGGAAAGUUCACACUGUGACGGUAGCUACCA
rnacentral:rRNA from 1 species